rnacentral:rRNA from 1 species
CACACCGCCCGUCACACCAUGGGAGUUGGAUUCACUCGAAGGCGUUGAGCUAACCCGCAAGGGGAGGCAGGCGACCACAGUGGGUUUAGCGACUGGGGUG